rnacentral:rRNA from 1 species
CGGGGUGGGUAACGCGUGGGUAACCUGCCUCGUACAGGGGGAUAACAGUUAGAAAUGACUGCUAAUACCGCAUGAGCGCACAGUGCUGCAUGGCACAGUGUGAAAAACUCCGGUGGUAUGAGAUGGACCCGCGUCUGAUUAGCUAGUUGGUGGGGUAACGGCCUACCAAGGCGACGAUCAGUAGCCGGCCUGAGAGGGUGAACGGCCACAUUGGGACUGAGACACGGCCCAA